AAUUUAAGACACAUUAACCCUAAAUCCAAGCCUUUGCAGCUAGCUAGGCUAACGCCGCACCAACUUACGCCUACCACGACAAUAUUCUGGAACCCAAUCUCGUACUUCGGGGGGUUCCGAUUAAAGUCGGAAAACUUCCUUCCAGCAUGGACAAGGACGAGAACCCCAAAGACCCAAGCCUUCGCCACGGGCUAACCUUGGCGGUUAACUGAUGGUCAGUUUUGCAAGUAAGCUCUGGUCUUUUCCAAAGGAUGGUUGAAUCGUCGUCUAGUCUUGCUUGCUCUCAUAUUCACACACACACACACACACAGAGAGAAGAGAGAGAGAGAGAGAGAGAGAGAGAGAGAGAGAGAGAGAGAGACGAUGACGACGGCUACCAAAUCAAACUCCUAUUCAAUGCCCUCCGAGAAUCAAGUAUGAAUGUUAAAUGCUUCCUCGAUUCUACCUCGAUCCACGAAAUCAAGUUUUUCGGGCUCUAAACAAGUUGUUGGGGGUAAACUUUCCUGCUGCAAAUCAAGCUUAGACUUCAGAGUUGAUAACACAAGACAGAUUCAACACACCAUCAUUACAUCCUUAUCGUCUGGCUAUUUGGUGAAAAAUAUGAUAAGGAAGAGAAAGAUACAGACCAGGCAUAGAGGCAGCCUUUCUCCUCUUUCCGCUUGUUGACAUGAUCCAUGUAUGACAUACCCUGACCUCCUGGAGCAUCCAUAUCUCUCUCUCUCUAUGUGGUUUGAUGAAAAGACAGAGUGAAGUACUCUUUGCAGUGGCUAAAAACUCUCUGUUUUGACUCAGAUGCAAAUGGAAUAGAGAACUGCAGUUUCCUUUAUAGAGGGUUGAGGUGAAGGGGAAUAUCUUAAUGCUUAAUAUACCAUCCACUGAUGCAAAUGGAAAGAGGGAACUGCACUUUCAUUUAUAGAGGGUGGAGGUGACUGGCAAUGUCUUAUUGCUUAAGAUUCCACUGGUAAUUGGCCACUCUCUGACUCUCACCCACUUUGAUUAACGUUGUAUAUAUAAAUGUCUCCAUGUGCAACACUGUCUCUCUCCUCGCACUCUCACUGAGGAAACCGAAUAUGAUAAAUAUACUCAAACAAUUUCUUAGAGAAAGUUUAAAUGAUGUACCAACCCCCAAAAUUUUGUUGAUAAGUACAAGUACAAGAUAGGCCGAGAUACAAGUGAGAUUAAAACUUUUACUAUCACAGGUAUAAUUUUUUUUCCCAGGGUACUGGUUACUUGCAAAACCUUGGAUGGCUCUCUCUCUCAGGAGGCAUUAUGAUACAAUGUUUGGUCUUCCACAAAGUCUUCCUUCGAUGGUUGUUGAGGCCGGCAACGCCAAAAUGGUUGUAGGAAAAAAUUGGAAAACACAAUUCAUAGAUACAAUGUAAUAAACUUAAUACUUAACCAAAAAAAAAUGUAAAAAUCU